rnacentral:rRNA from 1 species
GGAGUUAGCCGGUGCUUCUUCUGUGAGUGAUGUCCUUCCUGCCGGUUAUUGACCCGCAGGCCUUCUUCCUCACUGAAAGUGCUUUACAACCCGAAGGCCUUCUUCACACACGCGGCAUGGCUGGAUCAGGGUUGCCCCCAUUGCGCAAUAUUCCCCACUGCUGCCUCCCGUAGGAGUCUGGGCCGUGUCUCAGUCCCAAUGUGGCCGAUCAACCUCUCAGUUCGGCUACAGAUCGUUGACUAGGUAGGCCGUUACCCUACCUACUAUCUAAUCUGACGCGAGUCCAUCCAUAAGCGAUAAAAUCUUUCAAGAAGCUACCAUGCGAUAGCUGCUCAAUAUGCGGUAUUAGUCCACGUUUCCAUGGAUUAUCCCCCUCCUUAUGGGCAGGUUACUCACGCGUUACUCACCCGUCCGCCGCUUUCCUUCAAUUACUUUGUCCCGAAGGACUCCGUUACUGAAUUCUCGCUCGACUUGCAUGUGUUAGGCACGCCGCCAGCGUUCGUCCUCGAGCCACUAAUACAAACUACUGA